UGGGGAAUAUUGCACAAUGGGGGAAACCCUGAUGCAGCUAUGCCGCGUGUGUGAAGAAGGUCUUCGGAUUGUAAAGCACUUUCAGCAAGGAAGAAAGCAAAUAUGCUAACACCAUAUUUGUGUGACGUUACUUGCAGAAGAAGCACCGGCUAACUCCGUGCCAGCAGCCGCGGUAAUACGGAGGGUGCAAGCGUUAAUCGGAAUUACUGGGCGUAAAGCGUACGCAGGCGGUUUGUUAAGUCAGAUGUGAAAUCCCCGGGCUCAACCUGGGAACUGCAUUUGAAACUAACAAACUAGAGUAUCGUAGAGGGGGGUAGAAUUCCAGGUGUAGCGGUGAAAUGCGUAGAGAUCUGGAGGAAUACCAGUGGCGAAGGCGACCUCCUGGACGAUGACUGACGCUCAUGUGCGAAAGCGUGGGGAGCAAACA
rnacentral:rRNA from 1 species